AUCCUAUUUCCUGACCAAAGGAAAUGCCCUCAAGGUGUUAGACGAAUUAAGUUGGCCGUUCAGUUGUCCUGAAUCUGGAUAUUUUUCUGCUGUACUUCAACUGUACCAGUCUAUUUUCUGGUGUCUUGAAAGAGUUUUGUUCUAAUCACAAUCUGGCUAUUCACAAAAUUUGCUACCGGUUGAUCUAUGAUACAUUACUAAUUUGUGUGAUUUUUAUCAAUGUGAUCCACACACUUAAUGAUGAAGAACGUAUGCCAUUGUAUCACUACAGGUUCUAGAGCUGUUCACCUGAACGCUCACCCAGGCUGUCAGUGUUGGAAAUUGUGUCGCCAGGACGGACAAGAAGAGCAGAGCAACCACCGAUUCUAAACCACGUCGCUGGGACAGACAAGAAGAGCAGAGCAACCACCGAUUCGCUUCCCUUCAUUCUCGUCAUGGUCAUUAGUCAGCUGCUCACGCACACCCAUCUGCUCACUUGUUUCACGCCAGUGUCACCAUUAGGGCUCAUCUUGGGAAGACCUAUCAGCCAGCCGUUAUUUUGAGGUGCUCUAUGCCGUGAACAAGAAGGUUGAAGAAAAUCUAGAGUUCAUCAUGCAGUUGGAGGAAGUAUGUACGACUCGCAGCAAUGUAACAUGUUUCGUCAAGUGAAGAAGCUGACAUGGUUGCCAAAUGCAACCUUAUCAGAUCAAAGCAUCAGUCUAAGCACUGCAGAAUACACGGGGCUUGACAUGGCCUUCUACAUUGCAGACAGAAUAAAAGGGGGUGAGCUUGAUUUACUGGAUUGGUUGAGAGCUAGGUUUGGCUUUCAGUGAGACUGUUCGGAAUCAAAGUGAGCAUUUGAUUCCUCCUCGCAAAUGUGCACAUUAGACCUGAGCCAAAGCCUGAUCAACUCAAGAUAAUUUUGCAACUGCAGAAAUCCUCCGGGUGCACAACCACCUAGGUCGUUAUCUUCUCAUCCGGGGUGAAUCAGCAAUAUCCAGUUUAUGCCAGUCAGCCAACAGCUUUUGCAUUAUUCUAAAUAAAGUGCUUCACAGAUGUUGGUCUUGGGCUGCUCAAUGAAUAACAAUGAGAUCGUCCCCCAGUAGGUGUUUCAAGCUUCCGUUGUUACUACUUUCUUAUUCUCUCCGGUGUCCUGGUGUGUUAAGCUGUUGCUUGGGUAAUCUACCGAUGCCGUCUCCCUACACCGACUCGUUGGCACCGUCGUAUUGCACCGACACACCGCCGCCCAUGCCUCAUUAAAAAUCAGUGCAGUUGUCUUUGUUACCUGGUUACAUAUCUUAUUUUAUGUAUUCAAUGUGAGGGAUUAUUCGUACUGUAGCAAGUUCGGCAAGUUGGCGAGACAUAGGUGCCUGCAAAUCCAUGAGGUUGUGGUUGUAUUUGUGGUUAAAAGAUAUCUUGGCUCGAGCACCUGCACCGUACAUCUUCGAAAUCAGCCUAAACGGUGGAUGGUGGCUGAAUGGCAGGAGCGAGAAGAUGUCGGAGUGGCAGGCUGGUGAUGCUAGAGUUGGUGCCCUGAAGCGCAUGCAAAGUCGGAGGUAAUCAUCAUGAAAGUUAAUCAACAUGAUGUACUGUAGCUUCUUCUCUCCCAAAGUUUCAUGUUUGACUGAAUGCUUAUAUGAGAUACUCAUGUUGAACCCCAUUGAAUUAACACAUACCUUAUCAUCUUAUGAUUAUGUUGGAGUGUAUUACAGUCACUGGUUAAAUGAAAAACUACAAGUGCAUUUUCUUUAUUUGCUAUCACUUGGACGUGUCUAUGUAUAUAAGGCUUCAGAUUCAUAUUGCAAUGCCAAAAUGGCUAAUCGAUUUGGGUAUCAUCUACUAUUUAUCACUGCUAUAAAUUGUUAAGCAAAUGCAGUUAGCCAGCGAGGAACCAAUCAUAUUUUAAUUUAGAAUUUAAGAAGCCAUGAUUUUUUAGCCGA